GCAAGAGGCAUUGCUACACAUAGCAUUAGCCCCUAAAAAGGUUCCGGCCAGUGCUUGUGUAACAAUCUCUCCGGCU
rnacentral:pre_miRNA from 1 species